CGGAUUCACUGGCUAAAGCAAGUCACAUGGCCAAACCUGAUUUGGUGGGGAGGGGAGGUGUACCCAGCACUGGAGGCCCUGCACGUCGUGUAGCAAUGGGGCAGGAUGAAUAGUCCUCUCACUGGGAGGACAGUGAAUAACUGGAAACAGUGACCAAUCUGCUACCAUGCACCAUCUUGGUUGCAAUUAUCACUCCUGUCUCUUGCGUGGGCAUGGUGGAUUGGAGGCGGCUGCGGAUUCUUAGUCAUUCCUCCCAGAAAGACAUGGAGUAUUUUUCUCCUCCCCUUGGAUCUGGGCUGAUUCCAGGACUGGCUUUCAUCAACAGGAUGUAGCAGAAGCGACGCUGUGUGAGUUCCCAGGCUGAGGCUGCAGAGAUUUGAGGCAUCUUCUCUCACCCAGCUUGAAGUCCUUCCCCUUGGAAGCCAGUCACCGUGAAAAAACUCACCAUGCUGUGAGGAAGCCCAAGAGAGCUGCAUGGAGAGAAGGGCCUGUGGAAGAGCUCUGAGGUGCCACUCACAUGAAGUGAGCCUUUGUGGACCUUCCAGCCCAGCCACCAGCAAACACAACCCAAGCUGCCAGGGAAACAUCGCCUGGAAAAUGUACACCCCUCUGCCCCACCCGCUCCUCGGCAAACGGCAGCCACGUGGCACCCAGCAGCAGCGGGGAGGGCCCGGUGGGUCCCAAGCUUCCAGCAGCAUGGGGAGGAAGGGAUGACCAGCUGUGGACAGGGCUGCAGAUGGGCAGAGCUUCCUGUUCCUGGGGGGACUCGACUCACUCAGCCCAGGAGCUCUGAGACCCCAUCCCUCCCCAGGAAACCCAGGCCCUGAGGCCAGGUCUACCUGGCUUACCUUGCAACCAAAGGCGAGAUCUUUCUCCGGAACCGGGUCAUUUGUUGGUGAGGAAGAUGGACUUCUGGGAGGCCUGCGCUCACAAGGCUCUACAUCCCGAAGUGAUCUCACCAAGGGGCACAACAGCCUGGAGAGGGAAGUGCCAUUGCUCCCAUUUUGCAGAUGGGCAAGAUGAGGCCCAGAGCCACCAAGCCCCUCUCGAGUUGCAGCUUCUGGGGGCAGAGCAGGAUGUACAUCUGGUCCCGCCUAACUAUACCCAGAGAAACCUGCCGUGGGCCCUUCUCCAUCACACAUGGUCAUCCCACACUAUCACAAAGGUCAGGGGAACCGCUAUGUCUGCAUAAAAACAAGUGUCAUCAGUUGGAUUUGUUCAAGGUGAGGCUUACCUGCUCCCUAAUAUAUCGAAAGCUCCUGUUGAAGGAGAGUCAGGGACAUGCCAGGAGGCCUGCCAUGCUGUGACCAGUUGUCAUCUCACCGAAUCCUCACCAGUACCACGUGGCUCAGCAAGGUUAGGUAACAUACUCAAAGUCACACCGCCUGCCCCCAAAUUAGUCAUGGCAAUCUCCUGUCUUCAAGGUCCAAGUUUUGCUGUUUCCUCAGGGUCAAAACCAAGGUCUUCUCCUGUCCUGGAAGAACAUCAAGCCAUAGAUGGAACUCUGCGUUCCUGGUGUGACCUCAGACAAGGCUCUUUGCCUCCCUGGGCCUCAGUUUUCUCAUCUGCCAAAUGGGAAGGCUG
rnacentral:lncRNA from 1 species